GUUGAAGGUGCGCCCCGUGCCUGAAGACGUUCCCUGUGCCUGAAGCCGCUCCCUGUUACUGAAGCCUUGCCUCUUGCCUGAAACAGUUCCACGUGCCUGUACUCAAGCCCCUUGCCUGAAGGCAAAACCCACACCUGAAGAGUUCACUGUGCAUGAUGGGGAGCCUCUUGUUGAAAGGCACAUGUGCUCCCCUUGCCUGAAUGGCACAGGAGAUCCAGGUGCCUGAAGUCGCGCCGCAUGCCUUAAGAAGCUCCCCGUGCCUGAAGACAAGGCCCAUGCCAGAAGGCGCUCCCCUGACUCAAGGUCACAGGUACUCCCUGAAGUCUUGCCAAUGCCUGACUGAGCGCCCCUUACCUGAGUGUGCCCUAUGUCUGAUGGUGAGCCCAGUGCCUGAUGGCCCUCCCAGUGCCUGAAGAACACAGAGGCUCCCCUUGCCUGAAGUCGUGCCCUGUGCAUGUAGCCUCUCACUGUAACUGAAGGUGCUCCCAGUGCCUGAAGACAAGCUCCAUGGUUGAAGGUGCGCCCUGUGCCUGGAAAGUUUCCCUGUGCCUGAAGCAGCUCCCUGUUCCCGAAGGCAUGCCUCUUGCCUGAAACAGCUCCAUGUGCAAUUACUCAAGCCCCUUGCCUGAAGGCAACCCUCCUACCUGAAGCCUUGCCCCUUACAUGAAGCCCCGCCCAGUUUCUGCAGGCAAGCCCCUUGCCUGAAGGCACGCCCAAUGUCUGAAGUCUUGCCCCACGCCUGAAUUCUCACCCUGUGCCUGUUGGUUAGCCCACUGCCUGAAGGGCACAGGCAUGCCCAGUGCCUGAGGGCAAGCCCAGUGACUGAAGUCAGUCGCCCCCAAUGGCUGAAGUCAUGCCCAGUGAAUGAAGUCAUUCCCAAAGCCACUCCCAGGGACUGAAGUCAAAGUCACUCCCAGUGAAGGAAGUUACUCCCAAAGUCACUCCCAAUGAGGGAAGCCCCUCCUGUGGUCACUCCCCAUGAUGGAAGUCACUCCAGAUAUCACUCCCAGUGACUGAAGUCACUGGCGAAGUCACUCCCAGUGAAGGAAUUCCCUCUGGAAGUCACUCCAGGUGAGGAAAGUCACUCCAGAAGCCACUCCCAGUGACUGAAGUCAAAGUCACACUCAGUGUCUGCAGUUACUCCUAGUGACUGCAGUCCUCACUCCCAGUGACUGAAGUCUUCACUGCCAGUGCCUGAAGUAGGCACUCCCAGUGCCUGAAGGAAUUGCAGGGGAAGGACAGAGAGAGAGGGAGACACAGAAUUCCAAGCAGCGUCCAGGCUCUGUGGUCUCAGCACAGAAACUCCCGGGGAAGGUCAGAGAGAGAGAGAGGGAGAUACAGAAUCGCAAGCAGCCUCUCCUAGCUCUGUCGUGGGAUCACAGAACCUCCAGUGCUCUGCCCCUGGCUUAAUCUUGUCCUCAGCACAGUUCUGGACACAGACAUGGACACUCCCAUUUUACUGAAGGAAACCAGCCCAGGCUCACACAGCUGGAGUCCUCAGGAGAUCCCUAUUGAGUCAGCUGGAUUUCUUCUCUGACGACCACCCUCUCCCCCCGGAGAAUCAAGUAUAUGAAGGUUCACCUCUCCCUUAAUGAAGUUGAUACCAAGGGAGUGAAAUCAAAGUCCGAAAAACAGCCUCUGCAGAAAGAAAAUGCUCAGCUUAAGAUCCAAAAGAAUCAGGAAGCUGGGACUGAAAGAAUGGGAGCAGUGGAAGGGGAGAAGCAGCUGUCAGCCACAGAGGAGAAAGUGAAAUUAGCUGCAGAAGAGCUUCGGAACUACAAACUAUGUGGAAAUGGUUCCUGAACAUGUUUCUCGAGGUCCUGGAAAUGAUUACACACCUCAGGAAGCAGUUUGGUCAAGGACAAAUCACAUCGACAAGUAUGAAGAUCCCAUUUUAGAGACGCACUUGUUGUAACCAUGAGAAAUAUGAUAAGGAUACAAGGAAAAGAAGAUUUGAGCUUUACAAUGAAAGAUCCUCACUGCAGAAUUAGAGAGCUGUCACCACAGUUAAGGAAACCGUGUCAAUGUGGAGCCCCACAGGCAUUAAAUAAUAAAUCCAAGAUGAUGUAGCGAUGGCUUUGAGAUUUCUGUACUCUCUUCCUCAUGUGAAAUGUGUCUUCUAUGAUUGGGUCGUAUGUAUGAGAAUUCAGUUCUUGUGAUGGGAACCUGGGCCAAUUAACAUCACGCUCAACAUGGUGCUUCAUCUGAUGAAAGCCAUUGCACGCCCAGGAGAAGAAUAGAAGAAACACAAGAACAGCUGCAGCAGUCAGAGCUCACCUUCAGACACCAGGUAGCCUGCACUCUGCCUAGUAGUUCCUAAGUGCUUCAGCACCUAACGCAGAUGAUCAUAACGGGACACUGAAUCUCUCCACAUGGGUUUUAUUGAUGUGCUGACUGUUUCUGAUUGCUCUUUGUGACAAGGCAUUUCAGGACAACUGGGUAAGAAUGUUUCCUCUCCUCCUCUUGUGCACACCCCGCCACAACUAAACGUAGAUGUGUUUCUCUCUCGAGUUCGGGGCUCAUGAUCUGGAGAAGGCAGUGGCGGAGCAGAGCAGGGAGGUUGCCUACUUGAAAUGCAGGUACAGGAUUUUGGCAUAUUUCUUUUAAGGGCGCUGUGACGUUUUAAAAAAGGCUAAACCAUUUGGUGUCCAAUGGAGGCCUGGUUGUGGUAACUCUUAGUGAAAUUGACUCAUCUCGAUCUUUAAGACUGGAAGUCAUCCAAAGACAGAGGCUUCUAGAGGAAUUCAGGAGGCACAAGCCAAUGGCACGGGGACCUGACAAGGAGAUCCCUCCAUGGAGAGAUUCAAAAUUGUUUUGGGGGAGAAAUCCUGUCACAAAUACGGAGGAACAGGAGUCGCUUUCAGUUUGGAAGUAAAGACACCAAAUGUUGACUCUCAGGACCUUCUAGAAGAAUCAGCUGGGACCCACUCUCCAAGUCCUGCUGGAAGCAGAGCCAGAGGUAGACACACAAAUGCACCCUGACAAAUAUGUGCUCAUCCAAGGCCACAGAUGUAUUGAAGAAGAAAACACGCAUAUAGAAGAACAGAAGAUCCCUUUGCAAUAACUCAAUCACUUUGACAUAGAGGGCCAUCAGUUUGAAAUUUGAAGAGCACACUGAAGCAUUACAAACCAGCUGUGGUUAUUAUAUAUUUAGAGAUGGUGUCUAAUCUACCCCUUGGUCUGAAUGCUUUCCCUGUCCACCCCGUCCCCUCCACAUUGUCCUUCCUAAUAUCCCCUAAUACACUUGUCAUAGUUGUGUUUCUAUGUCAGCGUCUGCCUCCAGGAAAAUCGACACUCAUUCCCCAUCAAGUGUACACUUUGGCGUUCCUGUAUAUGCAGUUAACAAACAGGUCCAUAUUCUCCCUCUGGAACGAAUGGUGUGCAUCCAAAUCGUGGGUUGCUAUCCUCCUGUCCACAACCAAUCUGAGGAUUCCAGAAGAUUCAGGCUUGUUUCCCGGAAGAAACCCUGACAGAAGUUCAGAAGAACGGGAGCUGCAUUCUGUUAGGACGUGAAUACAUGAAAUGCUCGUCUCAUGACCUUCUAGAAGAAUGAGCUAGGACCCACUUUCCGAGUCCUGCUGGAACCAGAGACCGAGGCCGCUGCUAUGAUGCUCAACAGGGAACCUGAAGCACACUGGGAUUCAGGAGCAGACCAACUACCACUUGGCUCCCACAAAUGGUCGCCUUGGAACUCUUUAUGGAAGAGGAGAAAACACCCACCACCACCGUUUCAUAACCCUGCACCGAAUGUGGAGACAACAAUCACCCACCCCCAAAGGAAACUCUAGCAGGGUACAUGUAUCAAACCUAAGGUGUUGGUUAUGUAUUUUGGAUCAAUAAGUGAGUUUGUACUUUUGACUGGUAAGUGUACAUCUAAAUCCCUCAGAGGGGAUAUUCUCUGAGGUCACCCCAACCUAAAUUGUUGGCCCAUGGGGAGAUGUGUUGUCCCUACUGAUUGUAUUGAUGUUGUCUCUGUAGGCCAGUGAAUUAAAGCUCCAUAGGGUCUUGUCCUGUUCUUGCCUCUUCACGGGAAGGUCCAUUUCACCUAUUGAAAAAGACAGCAAGGGAGUAGUGUUGGCACUAUUAAAUCUGACGUUUCAUGAAUGAGUCUUUUCACUUUCAUGGCUGAAGAAGCAGCAUCUCUUAUGAUGAGGGUUAGGGUUUGGAUUAUCCUGAGGAUUAGGGUAAGGGUUAAGUCAUGCUUGCACCCCCGUUUUGACAAGGGAGGAAGGUCACACCUGACCCCCGCCACCCUCCUUGUGGAAGGGUGUUCAGGCAUGCAGCCUGCCUCCCCUCCACAAGGGAGUAGUGAUGCCACUACUUAAUGUGUUGUUUCAUGAAUGGCUCUUUUCCCUUUCACAGCUGAAGAAGCAGGCAUUUCUUAAGCUGAAGAAGCAUGCAUCUCUUAAGGUCAGGGGUAGGGUUAGCAUUACAGUUAGGGGUUAAGAUAAGAGCUAGGUCAUGCUUGCUCUCCCCCCUCAGCACGGGAAGACUUCACGCAUCACCCCACUAUCCUGAGCAAGGGAGAGUGUUCACCUUUUCACCCCAAUCCCUGAGAGUGGUAAAAUAUUGAAGCACGUGCUCCACUCCACUUCCUUUGGGGAGGGCUUUCACACAUGCGUAGAUCCCCCCUUCAGGACAGAUUGUUCACAUAUGUGCAUGACCACCUGUCGGGUCGGGAGGGUGUUCACUCAUGGGCACACCCCACCUCUGCAUGGGAGAUGGUUCAUGCAUGUGUCUUGCUCACCUCUGCAGGGAGGGUUUUUACGCAUGUGCACAGCCCCACCUUGGUGUGGGAGGAGGUCACCCAUGCAGAGCGCCACCCUUCAAUGAGGAUAUAGUGAUGCCAUUAUUAAAUGUGAUGUUUCAUGAAUGGUUCUUUUCAAUUUCACAGCUGAAGUAGCAGACAACUCUUAAGCUGAAGAAGCAUGCAUCACUUAAGCUGAAGAAACGCGGCCAGGGAGGGCAUUGACGUAUGCUCCCCGCUCCCCUCGCCAGGAUGCUGUUCACGCAUGUGCAAAGUCCCCCCUCCUUGCCAAAGGGGGUUCAAGCAUGCCCACAACCCCCGCUCUCUGAAGAAACACACAUCUCUUAAGGCUUGCAUCUUCCCUCUACCUCUAUACUCCAAGUUCCUGGCUGGCACUGGAAUUACAUCUUUAGCACGGACAUCAUAACCUCCAGGUGAGAUUCAGGCUUGUUUCCGGGAAGAAACCCUGACAGAAAUUCAGAAGAACAGGAGCUGCAUUCCAUUAGGACAUGAAUACAUGAAAUACUCGUCUUGGGAACUCCUAGAAGAAUGAGCUGGGACCCACUUUCGAGUCCUGCUAGAACCAGUGACCGAGAUCACAUGCUGUGAUGGACAUCCCCUCAUGAAAACCUGUCAAGGUGGACGAGAGAAACCUGCUUGCCUGUGACUGCCACUUUAUGGUCACAUCUUUUCCUUCUGAAACCCCUUGAACACUCUAUCAUUCUUCCAGCCUUUGAACAUCUCUUCGAUUUGAAAAUAUUUCAUUCUCUUGUAUUCAUGCUAAAAAAUAUGUGUGAAAAUAUUAAAGCAAGGGUUCUUUACAAUAAGUGAGCCAGUCACAAUGAUCCAUCUGGCCGUGUGUACGUAUGUUUUCUUUUUUGGACACUGUUCAGGCAUGAUGUGAAGUACAUCCUGUAAAAUCUGAGUAUCAUUCAUUAUCUAGGAUAACCGCCUUUAUGGAAAGCCAUUUAAUGACAUGUUCAUUCCAGAUCCGAAAAACACUUAAUUUACAUACCACAUAAUACAGUGGUGUCUACAUAUGUUAUUACCUUAAAAUAUGGAAAGUGGAUGUUUCUAUGAAGUGUAUAUCAUACAUUGAGUUUUCUGUACCAUGAAUGCUAUUAUUUAAAUUACACAAUAGUAAGAACAAAAAGAAUAGGUACAUGGCCAUCACUAGUAACUAAGACUAGAACUAGUCAUAUAAUAUUAGGUGUUGAAAACAUAAAACCAUGAUUACUAAUAAUCUUUUCAAUCGUGGUGGGUUUCUAGUUACCAGAAAAAUUGGGAAGAUAUUAUUGAGUCUCCACAUACAUCAGAGUGUUUUCUGACUAUUGAUGUCCUCUAAGUUGAUACAUGAUCACAAUUAAUAUCCCAAAGAGAUAUGGUACUAUUAACUAACUUUGUAUUUGUAUUCAGAAUGCUUCGGUUUUAAACUCUUCUGUCCCAGACUCAUCCCAGCUGGCACAUGACAGUCAUCCUGU